rnacentral:ribozyme from 1 species
AUGCAAUAAAUGAUGUUCGUCUUUGUCAUUAUCAUCUUCCCUUCCGCCCUUUUUUUCUUUUCUUCUUUUUCCUAUUCUAUCUGAGUU